GACGAACGUUGGCGGCGUGCUUAACACAUGCAAGUCGAACGGAAAGGCCCUGCUUUUGUGGGGUGCUCGAGUGGCGAACGGGUGAGUAACACGUGAGUAACCUGCCCUUGACUUUGGGAUAACUUCAGGAAACUGGGGCUAAUACCGGAUAGGAGCUCCUGCUGCAUGGUGGGGGUUGGAAAGUUUCGGCGGUUGGGGAUGGACUCGCGGCUUAUCAGCUUGUUGGUGGGGUAGUGGCUUACCAAGGCUUUGACGGGUAGCCGGCCUGAGAGGGUGACCGGCCACAUUGGGACUGAGAUACGGCCCAGACUCCUACGGGAGGCAGCAGUGGGGAAUAUUGCACAAUGGGCGGAAGCCUGAUGCAGCAACGCCGCGUGCGGGAUGACGGCCUUCGGGUUGUAAACCGCUUUCGCCUGUGACGAAGCGUGAGUGACGGUAAUGGGUAAAGAAGCACCGGCUAACUACGUGCCAGCAGCCGCGGUGAUACGUAGGGUGCGAGCGUUGUCCGGAUUUAUUGGGCGUAAAGGGCUCGUAGGUGGUUGAUCGCGUCGGAAGUGUAAUCUUGGGGCUUAACCCUGAGCGUGCUUUCGAUACGGGUUGACUUGAGGAAGGUAGGGGAGAAUGGAAUUCCUGGUGGAGCGGUGGAAUGCGCAGAUAUCAGGAGGAACACCAGUGGCGAAGGCGGUUCUCUGGGCCUUUCCUGACGCUGAGGAGCGAAAGCGUGGGGAGCGAACAGGCUUAGAUACCCUGGUAGUCCACGCUGUAAACGGUGGGUACUAGGUGUGGGGUCCAUUCCACGGGUUCCGUGCCGUAGCUGACGCUUUAAGUACCCCGCCUGGGGAGUACGGCCGCAAGGCUAAAACUCAAAGGAAUUGACGGGGCCCCGCACAAGCGGCGGAGCAUGCGGAUUAAUUCGAUGCAACGCGUAGAACCUUACCUGGGUUUGACAUGGAUCGGGAGUGCUCAGAGAUGGGUGUGCCUCUUUUGGGGUCGGUUCACAGGUGGUGCAUGCCUGUCGUCAGCUCGUGUCGUGAGAUGUUGGGUUAAGUCCCGCAACGAGCGCAACCCUUGUUCACUGUUGCCAGCACGUUAUGGUGGGGACUCAGUGGAGACCGCCGGGGUCAACUCGGAGGAAGGUGGGGAUGACGUCAAGUCCUCAUGCCCCUUAUGUCCAGGGCUUCACGCAUGCUACAAUGGCUGGUACAGAGAGUGGCGAGCCUGUGAGGGUGAGCGAAUCUCGGAAAGCCGGUCUCAGUUCGGAUUGGGGUCUGCAACUCGACCUCAUGAAGUCGGAGUCGCUAGUAAUCGCAGAUCAGCAACGCUGCGGUGAAUACGUUCCCGGG
rnacentral:rRNA from 1 species